rnacentral:rRNA from 1 species
UGGGGAAUUUUUGGCAAUGGGGGCAACCCUGACCAAGCAACGCCGCGUGGGUGAUGAAGUCUCUUGGGACGUAAAACCCUUUCGACGGGGAAGAAAACCGCAAGGUUUGACGGUACCCGUAGAAGAAGCCCCGGCUAACUCCGUGCCAGCAGCCGCGGUAAUACGGGGGGGGCAAGCGUUGUUCGGAAUUACUGGGCGUAAAGGGUGCGUAGGCGGUUCGCUAAGUUGGAUGUGAAAACUAUGGGCUCAACCCAUAGCCUGCAUCCAAUACUGACGAACUAGAGUUCUGGAGGGGGUAGCGGAAUUCCUGGUGUAGCGGUGAAAUGCGUAGAUAUCAGGAGGAACACCGGUGGCGAAGGCGGCUACCUGGACAGAGUCUGACGCUGAGGCACGAAAGCUAGGGGAGCAAACAG